CUUCCGUGAUGCUUCUCAUAGCAUAUUCAAUUUAUCUGUCUUUCUCUCUAACUUGCUAAGGGCAGCGAUGAGGUCUUAGUAAUCUUUAUCUUUGCAGAGCUCAGCGCAGUGUGCCCAGUACAUGGAAGUUUAGAAACAGUUUGCUAAAUGAAAUUGUAUAAUGCACAGCCAUGACACAAGCUAAGGGGUCCGCAGGCCUAGCCAUAUUGACAACUGUUACACGGUGCAAAAGCUCUGCUUCAUGUAAUGCAGCUAUGAAAAGAGAGAGAGAGAAAAAAAAUGGGAAGGAAGUUCUGGCCAUGGUUUGGGAGAGAAAUCGAGUGAGCGAAGCUAAGGGUACAUGGAGAACAGUCAAUAUCCAGCAACGGCAGCAAAACACUUUCAAUUUUCUGGAUUAUUAAUUCAAAUUCACACGCACACGCCAGUUAAAAUUAAAGGGCUCUUUUUACUGCACUAGUUUAAAUUAAAGAUUAUAUUCUGCUCC
ensembl:lincRNA 1700001N15Rik RIKEN cDNA 1700001N15 gene